GUGUCAGCAGCCGCGGUAAUACGGAGGGUGCAAGCGUUGUCCGGAUUCAUUGGGUUUAAAGGGUGCGUAGGCGGUCUUGUAAGUCAGUGGUGAAAUCUCAGAGCUCAACUCUGAAUGUGCCAAUGAUACUGCAGGACUUGAGAGCAGUCGAGGUAGCUGGAAUGUGUAGUGUAGCGGUGAAAUGCAUAGAGAUUACACAGAACACCAAUUGCGAAGGCAAGUUACUAGGCUGUUUCAGACGCUGAUGCACGAAAGUGUGGGUAGCGAACAGGAUUAGAAACCCGCGUAGUCC
rnacentral:rRNA from 1 species